rnacentral:rRNA from 1 species
GAAAGGCCCCCUCGGGGGCCGAGUAGAGUGGCGUCCGGGUGAGUAACACGUGAGUAAUUUGCCUUCGGGUGGGGAAUAACAACCGGAAACGGUUGCUAAUACCGCAUAAUGCAGCGGCACCUAAUGGUGACAGUUGUUAAAGCGGGGGAUCGUAAGACCUCGCGCCUGGAGAGAAGCUCGCGGCGGAUUAGCUAGUUGGUAGGGUAACGGCCUACCAAGGCGACGAUCCGUAGCCGGCCUGAGAGGGCGGUCGGCCACACUGACACUGACACACGGGUCAGACUCCUACGGGAGGCAGCAGUCGGGAAUUUUGGGCAAUGGGCGAAAGCCUGACCCAGCAACGCCGCGUGAAGGAUGAAGUUUUUCGGAAUGUAAACUUCACAAGAAUGGGAAGAAUAAGGGGGGGUCAAUACCCCCUCCGAUGACGGUACCAUUUGUAAGCUCCGGCUAACUCCGUGCCAGCAGCCGCGGUAAUACGGGGGGAGCAAGCGUUGUUCGGAUUUACUGGGCGUAGAGGGCGCGUAGGCGGCGCAACAAGUCACUUGUGAAAUCUCCGGGCUUAACUCGGAGCGGCCAAGUGAUACUGUCGUGCUAGAGUGCGGAAGGGGCAACUGGAAUUCUCGGUGUAGCGGUGAAAUGCGUAGAUAUCGAGAGGAACACCUGCGGCGAAGGCGGGUUGCUGGGCCGACACUGACGCUGAGGCGCGAAAGCCAGGGGAGCGAACGGGAUUAGAUACCCCGGUAGUCCUGGCCUUAAACGAUGGAUGCUUGGUGUCCGGGGUUACAUAG